GUCCCUACGGGACGCAGCAGUGAGGAAUAUUGGUCAAUGGGCGCGAGCCUGAACCAGCCAAGUCGCGUGAGGGAUGACGGUCCUACGGAUUGUAAACCUCUUUUGCCGGGGAGCAAGCGUGCGUUCGUGAACGCACGUCGAGAGUACCCGGAGAAAAAGCAUCGGCUAACUCCGUGCCAGCAGCCGCGGUAAUACGGAGGAUGCGAGCGUUAUCCGGAUUUAUUGGGUUUAAAGGGUGCGUAGGCGGGAUGCCAAGUCAGCUGUGAAAGUCCGCGGCUCAACCGUGGAAUUGCAGUUGAAACUGG
rnacentral:rRNA from 1 species